CCUCCCAACCAUCUGGAAUUACAGAUACCCACUAGUGGAAUUGCUGCAUCAAUUGGAAAUUCUUGAUAAAAAUUACAGCCUGAUCUCAGUUGUGCAACAGGAAUUUUGAAGAGCAGCCACCCUCCCUGAAGCCAUCUAGGGAACACCAGCAGAAUCACACUGGAGGACUGGUGUCCACAGAAGGCCACAAGCUUGUGAAGGUCAACUCAGCUGUGGCAGCUGAGCAACUGUCGGGCAAGUCUGCUGGAAUCUGAAAACCCAGAGACAUUUGUCCUGGGGGAUAUAUGGUAUGGUUCCCUUGGGUUCUCAGAAAUGACUGAGAUGACAUUUUGAGAGAAGCUAAGUUUUGGAAAUUAGGCCAGAGACUUAUGCCAAAAUUGUGGAUAAAGAGGAAGUUCCUGUUUGGGUUGUAGUGACAGGCUGUUGAGACUGGUGAAGUAAGCAUCACACUCAAUUUACCCCACACUAUGAGGAGCAAAAGAGUUCUUAAAAAGACAGAGAGGCAUAGCCUCAUCAUCAGAGCUCUUUAGGGAAACUGGGGAUUACCUCUAUAUGUCAGAUUUUCAAAUUAGCGUUGCACACCAGAGACCUCUUCAGGUGAGGUGAACUUGUAAAAAUACCUGAGAAUGGUUGUGAAACUGUAGUGUGCUGCUGCUGUGACUUCUGUUUUAUUUUUUUCAUUUCAUUUACUUUUCUAUAUACGAGUGUGUGUGUUUGUGCACACACACAGAGUAUAUAUAAGACAUAGAUACUUAUAGUACAUAGAAAUGUAUUUGUAUAAAUACAUGUAUGAUGUUGAAAGUUUGAGAUUCUUUGUUUUUUGAUAAAAACUAGUUAAAAUUGUUAUUAAGAUCUGAAAAUUAAUUCAGUCAGUUUUAAGAGACAUAGAAAUUCAGAGCAGCAAUCCCUGUUUGGUAAAUGCUUCUGUGGGGGACAACAUUCUCCACUAAGGUAAUUUUGAGCCACAAUCUUAAAUCAAACCACGAAAGAUAGAAAUUAUUUCCUUGGAAUAAGCUGUGAACAGUAUUACCUAAGGCUUUGGAUAAUUUCAAAUGAAAUGCUGAAUUUAGUAUAUUGAAUGACACAGCAUCUUUAUUUUAAAAUGGAACAAGUCAAUAAGGUAUUUACAGGAACACACAGCUUGAAUAAUAAAAUGUGUGUGAAUAGAUCUUAAUAAUUCAUUCCAUGUGCUGAUGCAAUUUGAUACAAACUCAAGCGUUUUAAUAAGAACUGUAAGCUGUUUUUUGAAAUUAUGUAUUGGAUUAGAGAGAGAGAGAGAACAGACCAAUUAAGCAACGAAAAAGAAGCGGGGAAUUGCUAAUGCUGAAUGAGUAGGAGCCAUCUGGAACUAUAAAGCGUCCCCAACAACCUACAGCUUCCCACACAGAUCGUAACCUCCUCCUCCGAUACCCGCCCCCACUACUUUGUGUAGGAGUUUAUCUUUUCCAGCUAUCACUAUGGGUAGGGUAAAAACUACUUUUAUAAAAAUUACCUUCAUGGUUACUGAAAGCUGAAGAGGAAUACUUCACUAACCAUGGGUCAUGACUCAUAGCGUAAAUACUUAUCUAGUAAGCAUUUAUAAUAUUUCUUUGGUGCUAAUUUUCUCAUUGAAUAAAGUUUGCUUUCAUUUUGUUUCAUCCACAUCAUAGCGGCACUUUCUGGCUGAGCUGCUUAACCCUCUGAAUUCAACUAUUUGCAGAGGCAUAAAGAAUUUUGAUGACUAUUUCAUUAUGCUUCCUCUAAAAAUAUGUUUUAAAGUCUCUAAAGAUUGUUGACUGUGUGCAAAACACUCUAAAGCUUGUUUCAAAGUAACAUAAAGCAUUUAGAUGAGAAAAGGGAAUAUACACAAUCCACUUCAGCUACACAUAAACUGGUUCAUGUGUUAAGGACAGUUCUAGAACUUUGGAAACUUGGAUAAGGACGCUCCUUCUGAGUAUAGUUCUCAUAGCACAAUCCCAAAGACACUGGAACCAACUUCAACUCCCACUGAGCUUAGAACCUACCCUUUACAUUACCCUAGAAAAACAAACACACUCUUUUAUGUAACCCCUCUCCCCAUUCUCCCCCUUCUUUUACAAAUUAUAUGCUAAAAUGCUCCCAACGUACUUAUAAAUAGAUCCAAUAAGACAUCAAUUUCUACACCUUCCAAGAGGGAGGGGAAACAAUCACAGGAAAUGAGGUGAAAACAAAUACUAUUGGCCGGGCGCAGUGGCUCACGCCUGUAAUCCCAGCACUUUGGGAGGCCGAGGCGGACAGAUCACGAGGUCAGGAGAUCGAGACCAUCCUGGCUAACACGGUGAAACCCCAUCUCUACUAAAAAUACAAAAAAAAUUAGCCAGGCGUGGUUGCAGGCGCCUGUAGUCCCGGCUACUCGGGAGGCUGAGGCAGGAGAAUGACAUGAACCCGGGAGGCGGAGCUUGUAGUGAGCCGAUAUUGUGCCACUGCACUUCAGCCGGGGCGACAGAGCGAGACGAGACUCUGCCUCAAAAGAAAACAAAAUAAAAACAAAAACAAACAAACAAAAAACAAACCAAAUGUUAUUAACCAAAUUACUAAAAUAAAGGAAACUUGAACACUAAAGAAUAAAUAAUUUUCACAAGAACAUUCUAAAGCAAAUUGUAGUAUCACUUUAUUUUCAUUAUUGUAGUAACAUUUCUUCAAUGACUUGGUAUCAAUAAAUUGUAUACAAA
rnacentral:lncRNA from 1 species